CAGAAAUGGAAGCUCCUUCCAGCCCAAAACAGUGUAUCCUUACUUUGAUCCCUUGUUUUGGACUGAAGGGAGCUCCUAAUUCUU
rnacentral:pre_miRNA from 1 species